rnacentral:lncRNA from 10 species
AGAAUAGAAGGAGAGCACUAAUAGGAUAAAGGAAGUUAUUAAUUAAUGGUCACAGCCACACUCCAACAUGAAGAUGUGAAAGUAGUUUGUUCAGGAGAUACUUCUAGAUCUCACAGUCUGAGGCUUAUCACCAUGAACGCUUAGUCUCCCCCACCAGCAGACUAAUGGCUCCUUGCGAGUGGAGUGGGGACUUGUUCACUGGCACCCCUAUUGCCAAACCCAUGCUUGGUACAUAGCGCAUGCCUGGUGACUAUGUCCCGAGUUGUUGACUUGACUGCACGGUAGGAUCCAGGCAUAGGCUCUGUGGCAGAGUCCCCACUGAGCCUAGACC